rnacentral:lncRNA from 1 species
AUGAAAUUGCAAAAAAGAUUUUAAGCAAAAGAAUAAUUAUCAUAAAUAGGGACAUACCAUACUUUUCAACGAGAAUGGCAAUCGUAGACCCAGAUAACGUGCCACAGUUGAAUUUCCUCAGAAAGCAGAAAUUCCAAUAUUUAAUGGAAUUUAACAUACUUCACGUAAAGUAUAGUGUUUUAGAGUACUAUGACGAAGAACAUUUCGACUUAAACGAGAAAAUCAAAACCCAGAUGGCAAUAUUCCCUUCACUUCCGGGAAUAAAAGUUGAACGAUUUGUAUUUCGUACCGAACUUAAUUG